UUAUUUUGUAAAUUUUAAUUUUAAAUUAUUAAUAGACUAGGUUCUUAAAAGUUAAAAAAUUUGGCGGUAUUUUAUUCAAUUCAGAGGAACCUGUUCUAUAAUUGAUAAUCCACGAUUAAUUUUACUUUAAUUAUUCUUUGUAUAUCGUCGUUUUAAUUGAAUAUUUUAUUAGGAUAAGUUGAAUUUUCUAUAAUUUAAAAUAUUAAUUUAUUUCAGAUCAAGGUGCAGGUUAUUAAAGAAGAAAUGGGUUACAUUAUUUAAAUAAAUUUGGAUUUAAUAAAGAAUUUUAUUAAUAAAAUUGGAUUUGAUUGUAAAAAAUUAAAUAUUUAAUUUUUGAUAAAUUGCUCUAAAAUGUGU
rnacentral:rRNA from 1 species